rnacentral:rRNA from 1 species
UACAGAGGGGGCAAGCGUUGUUCGGAAUUACUGGGCGUAAAGGGCGCGUAGGCGGCCUGCUAAGUCGAACGUGAAAUCCCUGGGCUCAACCCAGGAACUGCGUCCGAUACUGGUUGGCUUGAAUCCGGGAGAGGGAUGUGGAAUUCCAGGUGUAGCGGUGAAAUGCGUAGAUAUCUGGAGGAACACCGGUGGCGAAGGCGGCAUCCUGGACCGGCAUUGACGCUGAGGCGCGAAAGCCAGGGGAGCAAACGGG